UGGGGAAUAUUGGACAAUGGGCGGAAGCCUGAUCCAGCCAUGUCGCGUGUGUGAAGAAGGCCUUUUGGUUGUAAAGCACUUUAAGCGAGGAGGAGGCUACUUGGAUUAAUACUCUAGGAUAGUGGACGUUACUCGCAGAAUAAGCACCGGCUAACUCUGUGCCAGCAGCCGCGGUAAUACAGAGGGUGCGAGCGUUAAUCGGAUUUACUGGGCGUAAAGCGUGCGUAGGCGGCUUCUUAAGUCGGAUGUGAAAUCCCUGAGCUUAACUUAGGAAUUGCAUUCGAUACUGGGAAGCUAGAGUAUGGGAGAGGAUGGUAGAAUUCCAGGUGUAGCGGUGAAAUGCGUAGAGAUCUGGAGGAAUACCGAUGGCGAAGGCAGCCAUCUGGCCUAAUACUGACGCUGAGGUACGAAAGCAUGGGGAGCAAACAGG
rnacentral:rRNA from 1 species